GGGGCUGUGGCUCAGUGGUAGAGCCCUUGCCUAGCAUGUGUGAGACACUGGGUUCGAUUCUCAGCACCA
rnacentral:tRNA from 1 species